rnacentral:rRNA from 1 species
GACAGAGGUGCCGAGCGUUAGGCGGAAUCACUGGGCUUAAAGCGUGUGUAGGCGGGUCCGUAAGUACCUUGUGAAAUCCCAUGGCUCAACCAUGGAACUGCUUGGUAUACUGCGGAUCUUGAGCCACCUAGGGGCAAGUGGAACAAACGGUGGAGCGGUGAAAUGCGUAGAUAUCGUUUGGAACGCCAAUGGUGAAAACAACUUGCUGGGGGUGUGCUGGACGCUGAGACACGAAAGCCAGGGGGAGCAAACGGGG